UACGAAGGGGGCUAGCGUUGUUCGGAAUUACUGGGCGUAAAGCGCGUGUAGGCGGCAGGCCAAGUCGGUGGUGAAAGCGCCCGGCUCAACUGGGCGAGGUCCAUGGAAACUGGUCAGCUGGAGGACGGUAGAGGCGAGUGGAAUUCCCGGUGUAGCGGUGAAAUGCGCAGAUAUCGGGAGGAACACCAAUGGCGUAGGCAGCUCGCUGGGACGUGACUGACGCUGAGACGCGAAAGCGUGGGGAGCAAACAGG
rnacentral:rRNA from 1 species